rnacentral:rRNA from 1 species
UACGAAGGGUGCAAGCGUUACUCGGAAUCACUGGGCGUAAAGCGUGCGUAGGCGGUUCGUUAAGUCUGCUGUGAAGCCCUGGGCUCAACCUGGAACUGCAGUGGAUACUGGCGGACUAGAGUGUGAUAGAGGAUGGUGGAAUUCCCGGUGUAGCGGUGAAAUGCGUAGAGAUCGGGAGGAACACCAGUGGCGAAGGCGGCCAUCUGGAUCAACACUGACGCUGAGGCACGGAAAGCGUGGGGAGCAAACAGG